rnacentral:misc_RNA from 1 species
UUUCUUGGGGACAAGAAAGUGCUCCAAAAGAGGGUAUUGUUACAUACUAUAGAAAGAAGUAUAGGAAUAAAAAUAGGAAGUAAUGUAGAUGAGUAUAGCUGUUUCUAGAUAUUCUAGAAGAGGUUAUGAGCGGGAAAAGCCAUAGCAGUUCGUAAUUCUGUUGUAACUGAUAUUGCUAGAGAUUGUUAUAGUGACAGCUAAGGAAUUAGGCAGUUACACCUAAGGAAUUAGGCAGUUACACCAGCUAGAGCUAUAAAAUCUCAGUAGUUACCUUGUAAUUUUCAUCA